rnacentral:lncRNA from 1 species
GGGGGAGGUUGUAUACAGAGCUGUGUCAUAGAUAUAACAGAUAAAAAAUUGAGUGUAGACUAAUAGAAAUUGACACGGGGGACUUUGAUGUAAUCUUAUGAAUAAACUGGUUAGCGGUGUAUUACGCCACUAUAGAUUAUUUUAGCAAGAAGGUUGUAUUCAACCCUUUUAAUGAUGAAUUAUUUACAAAUUAAUAAAACCUUUUAACAUUUG